rnacentral:tRNA from 1 species
GCGGGUGUAGCUCAAUGGCAGAGCAGAAGCUUCCCAAGCUUACCGCAACCGCA